UACGUAUGGUGCAAGCGUUAUCCGGAUUUACUGGGUGUAAAGGGAGCGCAGGCGGCGCGGCAAGUCCGAUGUGAAAACCCCCGGCUCAACCGGGGGACUGCAUUGGAAACUACCGGGCUGGAGUGCCGGAGAGGUAGGCGGAAUUCCUGGUGUAGCAGUGAAAUGCGUAGAUAUCAGGAGGAACACCAGUGGCGAAGGCGGCCUACUGGACGGUGACUGACGCUGAGGCUCGAAAGCGUGGGGAGCAAACAGG
rnacentral:rRNA from 1 species